rnacentral:rRNA from 1 species
UACAGAGGGUGCGAGCGUUAAUCGGAGUGACUGGGCGUAAAGGGCGCAUAGGCGGUUAGAUUAGGCUGAUGUGAAAUCCCCAGGCUCAACCUGGGAACUGCGUCGGAUACUGGAUGGCUUGAAUUCGGGAGAGGGAUGCAGAAUUCCAGGUGUAGCGGUGAAAUGCGUAGAUAUCUGGAGGAAUACCGGUGGCGAAGGCGGCAUCCUGGACCGACAUUGACGCUGAGGAGCGAAAGCUAGGGGAGCAAACGGG